AGAGUUUGAUCAUGGCUCAGAUUGAACGCUGGCGGCAGGCUUAACACAUGCAAGUCGAACGAUGAAACUCUAGCUUGCUAGAUAUGAUUAGUGGCGGACGGGUGAGUAACAUUUAGGAAUCUACCUAGUAGUGGGGGAUAGCUCGGGGAAACUCGAAUUAAUACCGCAUACGACCUACGGGUGAAAGGGGGCGCAAGCUCUUGCUAUUAGAUGAGCCUAAAUCAGAUUAGCUAGUUGGUGGGGUAAAGGCCCACCAAGGCGACGAUCUGUAACUGGUCUGAGAGGAUGAUCAGUCACACCGGAACUGAGACACGGUCCGGACUCCUACGGGAGGCAGC
rnacentral:rRNA from 1 species